ensembl:snoRNA
CCAGCACCCUUAACAGGUCUCUGCCUUUCCCCGUAGGCAGGGAUUUGGUAGCUGGUGCUCAGAGAAAACUCUCCGUUGUGUCCUGCAGCUAGGUCCAUAGUCUGCUGGCUGCAUUUCAGGCUUGGAGAGACAGGU